CACUAUGUGCAAAUAGAUGGGAUUUCCUGCCUGGUGUGCAAAGAGGCUACUGUCUCUCUUGAGCUGUCUUGCCUGUGUCCCAAGUUGCUUACUGGAGUUGAAAAGGGUGAGAUUUUCUCUCUUGCAGUUUCAGAGCACUUAGCAGCCAUCUCUGGCUUGUGCCCACACAUGGGAAGUUUCACUGCAUUCUUGCACCCUAGUGGGAGAGCUCUCAAAGUCCCUUGAACAGACAGGAGGGAUCUUCCCUUUCUUCACUGGACUGUCCUGUUUGUUAUUGCCUGCGAGAAAAGGGGAAAGAACUUCAGUGCUUCCUUGAGAUGGCAUAAGCUUUCAAAUUUCACUUUCUUAAUGGUGUUAUAUGCAUUACUGGGCAUUGCAGGUGUUCCUUCCUUUUGUGUUGACAGAAGUCUUCAGAAAGUCUACUUCCAUGACUGGACCUUUGAUAAGAAGAGUUGAAGUACUUAGCAGUCUAAGUGCAGGAUGAUUGGUUUGAGCUUGUCAUGACACUUCAGCUCGUUGGCCUACCCUCUGCAAGAGUGCGGUAAGAAGCAAGUUCUUUGUUACAUAAGUUGAGCCGGGUUAGGAUUGCCCUGGAGAUGGAUCUUCCCAGCACACGUGCUGCAGUCACUGCAGUGUGCCCGUGGAGCAGCCAGAGCUCAGCAGCAAGUGCUGAGAUCUUCCAUGCAGGACCUAGUACUGGGCUUAGUGACAUAAAGCAGAACUGCUGCAACCGCUGCAUGAAGGUGCUUUAAACAGUUUGAAUAGCUGGACGACUGUUCUUCCUGACUCUGUCUCGAUCUUAGCAAAAUCAGUCACUUUGAAUGAAACUUGACUGGUAAAAAUACAGUCUUGGCAUAGUAUCAUCAUAUAAUUGAAUCUUCUUUAU
ensembl:lncRNA